UACGGAGGGGACUAGCGUUGUUCGGAAUUACUGGGUGUAAAGGGCUCGUAGGCGGCCAACUAAGUCGGACGUGAAAUCCCCAGGCUCAACCUGGGAACUGCAUCCGAUACUGGAUGGCUUGAAUUCGGGAGAGGGAUGCAGAAUUCCAGGUGUAGCGGUGAAAUGCGUAGAUAUCUGGAGGAAUACCGGUGGCGAAGGCGGCAUCCUGGACCGACAUUGACGCUGAGGAGCGAAAGCCAGGGGAGCAAACGGG
rnacentral:rRNA from 1 species